UUGGAGGGCAAGUCUGGUGCCAGCAGCCGCGGUAAUUCCAGCUCCAAUAGCGUAUAUUAAAGUUGUUGCAGUUAAAAAGCUCGUAGUUGAACUUCGGGGUUUACCCAUUGGUCAGGCUUAAUUGUCUGCACUGGUGAGAUAAAUCUCUACCUUCUGAGGAACUUUCAUGUCAUUAGUUUGGUGUGAUUGGAAAUCAGGACUGUUACUUUGAAAAAAUUAGAGUGUUUAAAGCAGGCUAACGUCUGAAUACAUUAGCAUGGAAUAAUGAAAUAGAACGGACUGAUUCUAUUUCGUUGGUUUCUAGGAUCACCGUAAUGAUUAAUAGGGAUAGUUGGGGGCAUUAGUAUUCAAUUGUCAGAGGUGAAAUUCUUGGAUUUAUUGAAGACUAACUACUGCGAAAGCAUUUGCCAAGGAUGUUUUCAUUAAUCAAGAACGAAAGUUAGGGGAUCGAAGACGAUCAGAUACCGUCGUAGUCUUAACCAUAAACUAUGCCGACUAGGAAUCAGACGAUGUUAAUUUUUUAAUGACUCGUUUGGCACCUUACGGGAAACCAAAGUGUUUGGGUUC
rnacentral:rRNA from 1 species